UUAAACUGAAGAGUUUGAUCAUGGCUCAGAUUGAACGCUGGCGGCAGGCUUAACACAUGCAAGUCGAGCGGGGAAGUGUAGCUUGCUACAUUACCUAGCGG
rnacentral:rRNA from 1 species